AUAAACUCUUUUGGCAGAGGUAGAUGCAAGCUGCUUCCCAGGCCCCCGGAGAGACGUGCCGAACAAGGAGGGCGAGGCAUCCCGAAAUAUGAGGAUAAAUCGCAGGCAUUUUUGGAGAAAGUCUGAGAAAAGCUUAGACUUCAAUGCAACACAUAACAUCUCCUGAGCCAUAUGUGAGCAUUCCUCUGGCUAUAAUAUACUUUUUUGUCAUGGCGCAGCUGUGCUUGUGAAUAGUGAUACAGGACAGACUGGUGUGUAUGAUAAUGUUUGAAGCUUCUGUAGAAGCAGUCACCCUCCAUUUCAUUCUGGCCAGGGGCAACCAUCCCGCCCCCUUGGCCCCGUCAGGGCCAGAAUUCCUCCACGGGCGUGUGUGCAAUCCACGCUGGGAUUGCUUCAGACAAAGGUGGCACACGUGCCAGCUGCAUGCCUAUCCCACCUAAAGCGACACAUUUGUUCCCCUUCCUCUGCCUCGUCGGUCCACCCGGGCCCCGUGUCGGCCCCAGCGCUAGAGUGGCCCCUCGGGAGACUGGAAAGUGAAUAAAGGAAAUGCUUUUCGUAUCUAAUGCCUUUUCCAAGCAUAUUGUGGGUUUUAGAAACAGAAGCAAAUCCAUUUGCUGAACAGCUGCACCUCUGUACUGAACAGAUAACAAGGAGGACCAGCCCGGCUCUGCAGCGAGUCGAGGCUGAUAGGCCCAAAUCUCUGGCCUUUUUUUGAAAAUGCUAAUGACGAAGGAACGCGUCCCAAGCCAAAAGCGCUCUUGUAGAUCUGUCAAUUGCUCUUUUGACAGAUAUUUGCUUGUAAGUACACACAACACUUGUUCCCUGUGUCUUAUCUGUGGCGCUGCAGAACACUGACCUACAUUGCAUCGAGCACAAUGUGCGCUCGAACCCUCGCCGCUCGAUACCAUUUUUCAUUUUUUUUACCUUAAAAGCGCGUGGAGCUCAACGAAAUGGCUCAAAAAUCCAAUAAACCAAAGGUAUUCUUUCUUAAAUAAGAA